GACGAACGCUGGCGGCGUGCUUAACACAUGCAAGUCGAACGGAAAGGCCCUGCUUUUGUGGGGUGCUCGAGUGGCGAACGGGUGAGUAACACGUGAGCAACCUGCCCUUGACUUUGGGAUAACUUCGGGAAACUGGGGCUAAUACCGGAUAGGAGCUCCUGCUGCAUGGUGGGGGUUGGAAAGUUUCGGCGGUUGGGGAUGGACUCGCGGCUUAUCAGCUUGUUGGUGGGGUAGUGGCUUACCAAGGCUUUGACGGGUAGCCGGCCUGAGAGGGUGACCGGCCACAUUGGGACUGAGAUACGGCCCAGACUCCUACGGGAGGCAGCAGUGGGGAAUAUUGCACAAUGGGCGGAAGCCUGAUGCAGCAACGCCGCGUGCGGGAUGACGGCCUUCGGGUUGUAAACCGCUUUCGCCUGUGACGAAGCGUGAGUGACGGUAAUGGGUAAAGAAGCACCGGCUAACUACGUGCCAGCAGCCGCGGUGAUACGUAGGGUGCGAGCGUUGUCCGGAUUUAUUGGGCGUAAAGGGCUCGUAGGUGGUUGAUCGCGUCGGAAGUGUAAUCUUGGGGCUUAACCCUGAGCGUGCUUUCGAUACGGGUUGACUUGAGGAAGGUAGGGGAGAAUGGAAUUCCUGGUGGAGCGGUGGAAUGCGCAGAUAUCAGGAGGAACACCAGUGGCGAAGGCGGUUCUCUGGGCCUUUCCUGACGCUGAGGAGCGAAAGCGUGGGGAGCGAACAGGCUUAGAUACCCUGGUAGUCCACGCUGUAAACGGUGGGUACUAGGUGUGGGGUCCAUUCCACGGGUUCCGUGCCGUAGCUAACGCUUUAAGUACCCCGCCUGGGGAGUACGGCCGCAAGGCUAAAACUCAAAGGAAUUGACGGGGCCCCGCACAAGCGGCGGAGCAUGCGGAUUAAUUCGAUGCAACGCGUAGAACCUUACCUGGGUUUGACAUGGAUCGGGAGUGCUCAGAGAUGGGUGUGCCUCUUUUGGGGUCGGUUCACAGGUGGUGCAUGCCUGUCGUCAGCUCGUGUCGUGAGAUGUUGGGUUAAGUCCCGCAACGAGCGCAACCCUUGUUCACUGUUGCCAGCACGUUAUGGUGGGGACUCAGUGGAGACCGCCGGGGUCAACUCGGAGGAAGGUGGGGAUGACGUCAAGUCCUCAUGCCCCUUAUGUCCAGGGCUUCACGCAUGCUACAAUGGCUGGUACAGAGAGUGGCGAGCCUGUGAGGGUGAGCGAAUCUCGGAAAGCCGGUCUCAGUUCGGAUUGGGGUCUGCAACUCGACCUCAUGAAGUCGGAGUCGCUAGUAAUCGCAGAUCAGCAACGCUGCGGUGAAUACGUUCCCGGGGCU
rnacentral:rRNA from 1 species